ensembl:lncRNA
CUCUCAGAAACGGCACUGUUCAGCUGCUGCCUCCUUUUCAAAAAGGAUCCACUUUAAUGAUUAAACCUAAGGAAUGUCCAAAAGGAGGGGGGCAAGGAGGAAGGACGAGGGUUCUCACCUCCCUCCACCUCUCUCUGUCCUUCAGGGUUCUUUGUCCGCAGCAGUUUCUUUUCCAAAACCCUUGGGGGGGGGCGCGCGGGGGUUGCCCCUCCCUUGGGGCUUCUCCACGUGGCUCGCCGUGGGCGCCCGCAGGGGUCCACCCCGCGCCGAGGAGGGGCGAGGCGGUCCUCCUCGCCCUCACCCGUUAUUCUUUUCCCGGUUUGGUUUACCCAGCACUGUCCUCCUCUCGCUCCCGCUUCGCCUGGUGGCCCACCUCUGCUUCUUCUUUUCCUUCUUGUUCACCCACAGAUGAAUGAAUGGAUGGGGUUUGUCUUCUGGAGGAUGCCGAAGUGAGCUGCUCUUUGGUUCUCGAGUGAAAACGGAGUGGGGAGGGUCCCUGGGAACGCAACUUGGGGGCAGUUUCAGAUGGUCCCCGACAGGAGAGAGGAGCAAAGAAAUUCACUCAUCCGGAAAGCAGAUCGAGAAAGCCAGAGCUGCGAUUUCCGUGCAAGGGUCGCGGGAGGAGGGGAGGCGAUGCGAGUGUUCCUGUUUGCUUUCGCUUGCGCCAGGUUCUCCAGCCCUUCAAGCGCAAACUGGGAAAAGUCAGCUUGGAUUAUUGACUAGAAACACUACGUUAAAAGCCGGGGCUGCCCCAGCAACUGGACAGGUGCCAGCUCUGAUCUCCAGGCUGGGUAGGUCUCACCUGUGGCAGAAACGCACAGCCUCCCCCUCCCUGAGUCCAGGAUUUCGGGAGGGCGGGAGUGGGGAGACUCCCGAGGGGAAGAAGGAUCCCCGAAGCACCUGAGCCACCGGGUCCCACUACCUCUCCGUCUUCCGAGUCCCCGCAUCCUCCGAGCUGGACCACGGGCCAUUCUUCAAGCGUCUCAUCAGCUUUUGGAUGCAGAGCUUCAACGGUUGCUUAGUUCAUUAUAAAUUCUCUUCUUUUUACUUUUCAAGGCUGUAGCUGUAUAAACAAUCGGUUUUCUUUGUAUCAUAUAAAAUAAAAGAUUCUAGAUUUUUCCCCAGCGGCAGUAUACUUGUAAUUUUGUUUGGACUUUGAGAGUUGCUCUGUAGACACUCUAGGGUAUACUGAAUUCCGGAGAUGAAAGAAAUCCAGAGGCAAAAAGCUAAAAUUAUUUCAAAGGACACACCUCUAAGAGACACUGUUGGACUGUAGCUGGUCUUUGAACGAUUUAAUAACAAGUGUAUCUCUUCUCUGAUCUUGUUGAAUUGUAGAACAGACCGCGACGCCAGUUUUUUUCUUCACCUUUCCUUCCUAAUGAUUCCAUCACUACUUUCUCCUUGUUUUCCUUCAGGACCUGUAGGUGUACUUGGAGACAUUCAACCAUGAAGCAAAGAACCAAAACCUUUCACCAAUUUUAUUUGAUCUAGAAACAAUUAACUAAAAGUGCUGAAGUCCAUGUUAUAUGGGGAACAGGAAACUUCAAAAUAAGCAGAGAAAGCUGGGGGCUGGUUUCCAUGGUAGCAGCUUGCAGUAAAGCCUAACUCCUUGUGACAAAGAGGUCAUCUUCCUUUUCAAAUGUGUUUAUGAUCCCUUUGUGCAUUGUACUUUGGCAUAAAGGCUUCUAUGCCCUGUCAGGGCUCCGCAGGCAGCUCUAUGACUCUCAAGGGGGUUUAUUGCCUCCUUGGUAUAAGAAUAGCAGAAAGAAUCCG